AGGUCCUAUCGAGGGGCACGUUCCGGACAAACACGGCUGCAAAUUGUACUAACGUGCCUUGUAGCGGCUGCGGGCCCUUGUGAGCAGAACUGAAGUACCUAAUGAAGCAACUCCUCUGACCAGUCAAGCUCAGGUGGGUGGUGAGGGCGCCGGACUCUAAUGGGUCUUCCGGGCAGGUAAGCUGAUUGACGUCACGUUCAUUACAGGUGAUUAGCACGUUAGCGCCAUUCCAUUUUCCAAUCAGAUCACCCCUUGCACAAAGCUGGCCCGGAAGACUAAAUUAAUGGAGGUCUCAAAAUGGGGGAAUUCAAAAACAAAAACAGUAUCUUGAAUUGUGUGCUUAUUGAACUGAAAAAAAAAAUCUUGAUUUGUGUGAUACUUAAACAUAAAAAUAUCUUGAUUUGUGUGAUACUUAAACAUAAAAAUAU